rnacentral:lncRNA from 1 species
UUGACUGCGCUUGUCCUUAGGAUAAGUCUCCCCUAUAUGCAAAACAACUAUAAAAAUGUUAAUUUAAAGCACAUAACCAAUAUUAACUAAUAACUUCUCAUACAUUGCUCAAAUGAGGUAUAUAAAUAUACCAUCGUGACCUACACAACUCCACGAACAUCCCCAUAUUUUUAAAAUAAUUUUUGGAGCCUUCACGCGUCGUCAUGCGCCGGCAAGGGCACAGCCCUACGCGCAGACACGCACAACGACCUUAACGAAAUCCCCUAACACCGUUAGGAAUAUUCCGUUAAAAGUAACAAAAACUGUUAAAACUAACCAAUGUCGUUAGGAAUAUUCCGUCAAAGUUGACAGAAUAUUCCGUCAUCCCCUACCUUCGAACUCCGGCGACCGUCGCCGUCACCGGAAACUGGAAAACUUUAAAACCUUCAUUUCUCAUCCAUUUCUCAACCAAUUUGCAUGAAACUUAAACCAAUUUAAAGCUUAAUACGAAUAGAACACAACCAUACCUUCCAAAAGCCCUAAAACCCACGGAAAUCACCGGAAAAUCCCUUAAUAAUCCGGCUAAACUUGCAACUCGUUGAAACUCAACUUUCCGACGUCCAAAUCACUUAAUUUUUCUUCUCCGAGCUUCGUGAAGACAAUCUAAAGCUUCCUAUGCCCUUAAAAACUCCUAAAAACCUCACAAUAAUUAGUGCAUGAACAGUACCUAAAUCGGAGCUCGUGAGAAACUAGGGUUUUCGAAGGUUUUAAGUCCAAAUAAAGGUAUAAAUCAACUCCUAGGCAUGCAAACAGUUUGAAUGUUACCUUUAAAACCUCGAUCCGUGCCUGAGAUGGAAGGCUUGGAGUUCGUCCGUACAAAGUUGAUGGAAACAAAAGAAAAUCGAGAAGGAGGAGAGAGAGAGAGUGCACGGGAAUGAGAGAGAAAGGGAGUUGGAGUGUGUGUGUGGUCCAAAAUUGUUUGACUUCCAAACAACCACAAAACCAUAACAACUUUAAGUCCUAAUUGGUUCCAAAUAUCAGGGACUUAAGGUAUUAGUUCACUUCCAAACUUAAAUCACACAAUCACACAAAACGUCCGAGGGCAAAAUAGUAAUUUCACACCGUCAAAACUAAAUAUUUCGGGACGGGCUGUGACACACAAUAUAUUGGAGAGUAUAAUUUAUAUUUUAAUAAUUUUAAUCCACAAAUUAUGGAUUUUUUUAUUUAAAAUCACAUUAAUACAAACAACUUUAAAUUUAAAAUUUUAAUUUAAAAAAUAUAGUAACCUACAUAGAAAUACAUUAUCACAUUAAUUUCAGGGACUUCGAUCAAAAAUUGAAAACCAACAAAGGUUUUAGUCAAAGAAUAUUGAUAAUUUGAGACCGCAUCCAAAGUGUCCAAAAAAAUUAUGUAGACAAUAUGGUGUGGCAGUUGAUUGUUGGAUUUCUUAUUUAAAUCAUUAAAGAAGUAUCCAAUCAUCAAUGAGCAUAUCAUAUGGUCUACAAAAUAUGGUCUGAAAACAUGGUUUUCCUCGCACUUUCCAUUUAAUUAUAUGGUAGGAAGGAAGGUAUAAAUUUGAAUGAAACAAUGAUAUAUUUACAAUAAAGGUGAGAAUUUCAACUAAUUAAAUUAUGGGCAUGCCAUAUGAAUUUGAAUUUAAAAAUAGAUUCAAACUUAAAAGUUAAAAGAGAAUCAUCAUUAAACAGUACUAUUAAGCAACUUUAAAUGAGUUUAAGUGAACCAUUUCACAUGAAGUUCGUGUUAAGUUGCAGCUGAUUCAAUCUAAUCAGAAUCGGCUUAAGUGUUCGGUAAUCCAAAAGACAACUUGAAACCCCAUUAGAAUAUUACAUAUAUAUUAUAAUAAGCAUAUAAGUGGAACCUUACAAGAGCACUCUCAAUCCACAAAUAAAACUCAAGCAAAAUAGCAAAAGAAGCUCAUUCCUGUUGUAAACAUUCCUAGUUUAAGUAUGAUUGUGUAAAUCCUAGAUAAGAUUUGAUUCUAGUUAUCCUUUCCUAUUACAACUUGUAUUACUUGGAGGAGAAGGAAUAUCUUCUCUCCCUUUACUACUAUAAAUAAAGGCACAAUGUAGGAGGGAUAACAACAUAUACAUUCCCCUACAAUUCUACAAACACACAUCUCUCUCCUCUCUCUCUCUGCCGCCGGCCCUAGUCUUUCUGUCAGAUAAAAAUAGACCACAACACGUUAUCAGCACGCUC